rnacentral:rRNA from 1 species
AGAGUUUGAUCCUGGCUCAGGACGAACGCUGGCGGCGUGCUUAAUACAUGCAAGUCGAGCGAGGUUACUGUUUUGGAUCCCUUCGGGGUGAAGAAGCUUUAACCUAGCGGCGGACGGGUGAGUAACGCGUGGGUAACCUACCCCAAAGUCCGGGAUAACAGCGGGAAACCGCUGCUAAUACCGGAUGUCUUUACCUUGGGGCAUCUUGAGGUAAAGAAAGGUAACGCUUUGGGAUGGGCCCGCGUCCCAUUAGCUAGUUGGUGAGGUAACGGCUCACCAAGGCGACGAUGGGUAGCCGGCCUGAGAGGGUGGACGGCCACACUGGGACUGAGACACGGCCCAGACUCCUACGGGAGGCAGCAGUAGGGAAUAUUGCGCAAUGGACGGAAGUCUGACGCAGCGACGCCGCGUGAGCGAUGAAGGUCUUCGGAUCGUAAAGCUCUGUCCUUGGGGAAGAAGGCGAAAGCUUGACGGUACCCAAGAAGAAAGCCCCGGCUAACUACGUGCCAGCAGCCGCGGUAAUACGUAGGGGGCGAGCGUUGUCCGGAAUUACUGGGCGUAAAGGGUGCGUAGGCGGCCCUUUAAGUCGGAUGUGAAAGCCCGCGGCUUAACCGCGGAAUGGCAUUCGAAACUGGAGGGCUUGAGUGUCGGAGAGGGUAGUGGAAUUCCCAGUGUAGCGGUGAAAUGCGUAGAUAUUGGGAGGAACACCAGUGGCGAAGGCGACUACCUGGACGAUAACUGACGCUGAGGCACGAAAGCUAGGGGAGCAAACAGGAUUAGAUACCCUGNUAGUCCUAGCCGUAAACGAUGGGUACUAGGUGUGGGUGGUUUCGAUACCAUCCGUGCCGUAGUUAACGCAUUAAGUACCCCGCCUGGGGAGUACGUGCGCAAGCAUGAAACUCAAAUGAAUUGACGG